GCCCGAGUUGCUGAAGAAGAAGAAGACGAAGAGGGCUGCGAAGAAGGAAGAAGAGCACGAGGAGAAAAACUCGGCGCCGAACUCGAAGACCGUCAUGAUUGAGCAGCCGGAACCUGAGUUGCCGAAGAGGAAGGCCAAGAAGGUUGAGAAGAAGGAAGAAGAGCUAGAGGAAGUAAACUCGGACACGACCGCGAAGACCAUCGUGAUUGAGCACUGCAAACAAUGCAAUUCAUUCAAGACAAGGGCCAUACAGGUGGAAGAAGGUUUGGAGAAAAGUGUUGCCGGUAUCCCAGUGCAAUCCUGACAAGGCUUGGAAACUUUGGAGGGAUGGAACACACUUGGAUUUGGUGGAUCCAACAUUGGGAGACUCUUAUUUGAGAGAUGAAGUCAUUAAAUGUCUCCAUAUUGGCUUACUAUCUAUACAGAUUGAUCCAGUUGAU